rnacentral:misc_RNA from 1 species
GUGAAUCAUCGAAUUUUUGAACGCAAAUUGCACUCUCCUCGGAGAGUAUGCCUGUUUGAGGGUCAGCCUAUAAAAAAUCGACAUCGUUGCUGUUUCGCGGUGGCGUUCGUCGGAUAUUGGGUCAUCUUAAAUCUUUUGGUUUUAAGUGUCUUAAAAUUUUCUUUUUGGUUCCAUGAACGUUUCUAUGUUUUAUUUCUUUACACGUUUAAGGUAUCGAUUUUUAUUAGACGUGACCAUCAUAUCGGAUCGCGUUCAUAUUUUUUCAUUAAC